rnacentral:tRNA from 1 species
GGGGCGCUGGCGGAACUGGGAAGACGCAGUGGUCUUUGAAACCACCUGCCCGGCAGGCAUUACGGGUUCGAGUCCCGUGCGCCCCA